UGGCACUCCAGAUGUUUUGAACUACACCUCCCAUAAUGCUUUGCAUUAUGGGGGGUGUAGUCCACAACAUCUGGAGUGCCU